GUAGAGUCUUCUAUCAGCAUUUGGUUCUUCUCUGUCUUCUUCUUCCUUCACACAUCUCCCUCUCGCGCUCUCUCCUCCAUCCCCCAGAGAUCCACCUUCCCCUGCUCGCCUCCGCUCACCUGCGUGCUCCGGCAACAGCCGCUUUCGGACUUCGGUUUCCCUCCACCGGCGCUCCAAAGAACGUUGACGAAUAUACAGAUCAGCUGACCAAGAAUGAAUUAUCAUCACCACCAAAAAAGAUGAAGCACACCCAGGUUAGCAAAAGCAUGCCAGAUUCUACAUAUUCAAAGAAUGACAACAUUUAGUCCAUCAUGAAAUAUAUCAAGGUAUCAUGCUCCAUCACUUUUGGUCCUGAGACUUUUAUGUACAUAUUAACCUUAUGUUUAGACCUUCCUAAAACGGUGUCUAUGCAAGAAAAGCUAGGUCACUUUUGAUCAGUAAACUGUUAUUUGCACCUUGCACACAUAGAAAAGGCUCCAUCACUUUUGGUCACAAGACUUUUAUGUACAUAUUAACCUGAUGUUGAAGCCUUUCUAGAACUAUGUGUGUAUGCAAGAAAAACUAUGUCACUUCUGGUCAGUAGACUUUUAUGUAUAUAUGACUCCACCGUUGGAGCCUUUUUAC